AGUGAACGCUGGCGGUAGGCCUAACACAUGCAAGUCGAACGGCAGCACAGUAGGAGCUUGCUCUUACGGGUGGCGAGUGGCGGACGGGUGAGGAAUACAUCGGAAUCUACUUUUCGUGGGGGAUAACGUAGGGAAACUUACGCUAAUACCGCAUACGACCUACGGGUGAAAGCAGGGGAUCUUCGGACCUUGCGCGAUUGAAUGAGCCGAUGUCGGAUUAGCUAGUUGGCGGGGUAAAGGCCCACCAAGGCGACGAUCCGUAGCUGGUCUGAGAGGAUGAUCAGCCACACUGGAACUGAGACACGGUCCAGACUCCUACGGGAGGCAGCAGUGGGGAAUAUUGGACAAUGGGCGCAAGCCUGAUCCAGCCAUACCGCGUGGGUGAAGAAGGCCUUCGGGUUGUAAAGCCCUUUUGUUGGGAAAGAAAAGCAGCAGGUUAAUACCCCGCUGUUCUGACGGUACCCAAAGAAUAAGCACCGGCUAACUUCGUG
rnacentral:rRNA from 1 species